CAGUCGCCGCGGUAAUACGAAGGGGGCUAGCGUUGUUCGGAUUUACUGGGCGUAAAGGGCGCGUAGGCGGGCUGAUAAGUCGGGGGUGAAAUCCCAAGGCUCAACCUUGGAACUGCCUUUGAUACUGUUGGUCUUGAGUCCGGGAGAGGUGAGUGGAACUGCGAGUGUAGAGGUGAAAUUCGUAGAUAUUCGCAAGAACACCAGUGGCGAAGGCGGCUCACUGGCCCGGAACUGACGCUGAGGCGCGAAAGCGUGGGGAGCAAACAGGAUUAGAGACCCCCGUAGUCCCUGUCUCUUAUAC
rnacentral:rRNA from 1 species